UUGAAAGGGAAACGAUUGAAGUCAGUCAUGCCAGUGAGAAAUCAGCUUACAGGCUACUGUGGGUGCACUUUUUCGCAAGGCAGGUUAACAUCGGUUUUUGUUGCGUCAUAAUGAUUGUAGGAAGGUGGCUCCUUAGGGAGUGUUAUAGCCUACUUUAGAUGGCGCGACGAGGACUGAGGAUUGCAGCGAAUGCCUUUGGCUACGGAUCUUUUCUCUGUCGAUCUUCAAUUGAUCGUCAGCUUGCUGACGAGCGGUUGAUGGGUUUACAAUAGGGUGGAAUCCGAUAAAUUCGUUAAGGAUGUUGACGUA
rnacentral:rRNA from 1 species